AUGUUUAGAUUACACAAGAAAACAUGCAGUCAUCAUUUGACAAAGUGUUCGAGUCGUGGUUCAUAAAGCACAACCUCCUAUUCAGGCACCCUGGAUGUAAACAGUGAGUGAGUGAGUUUAGU